CAUUGCGUCGUGCGUCUCUAAUGACGUCAUCACGUCGACCCAGACGUCGUUGGACUUUGCAGACGGCUGCAACGGACCGGCGGGGAAGUUUACCACGAUUCUCCACGUCACUGUGAUUCCCUGAGAUCAAGGAUGGCUCUCACCCAGGUUUCCUCCAACAAGUGUGCCGGCGGCUUGCAGAAGGUUUUCGAGCACGAAAGUGUCGAGCUGAAGUGUAAGAUGAAGUUUGCCGUCUACCUGCCUCCCAAAGCUGAAACGGACAAAUGUCCCGUCCUGUACUGGCUCUCCGGCCUGACAUGCACAGAGCAGAACUUUAUCACCAAGGCCGGCAGUCAGCUGGCUGCUGCCGAGCACGGCCUCAUCAUCGUGGCUCCGGACACCAGCCCACGCGGCUGCGGCAUCGAGGGCGAAGAUGAGAGCUGGGAUUUCGGCACAGGAGCAGGCUUUUACGUUGACGCCACUCAAGACCCGUGGAAGACCAACUACCGCAUGUACUCCUACGUCACUGAAGAGCUGCCUAAACUGAUCAACGCCAACUUCCCCACCCAUCCUGACAGGAUAUCCAUCUCAGGUCACUCCAUGGGCGGACACGGAGCGCUCAUCUGCGCACUAAAGAACCCCGGAAAAUACAAGGCUGUGUCGGCGUUUGCCCCCAUCUGUAACCCCAUGCAGUGUCCGUGGGGGCAGAAGGCCUUCGCGGGAUACCUGGGUUCUGACAGAUCCACUUGGGAGGCUUUCGAUGCCACUGUGUUGGCGGCGUCGUACUCAGGCCCCCAGCUUGACAUCCUGAUCGAUCAGGGACGGGAUGAUCAGUUCCUGUCUGCCAGCCAGCUUCUACCCGACAACCUGAUCGCUGUCUGCUCCGAGAAGAAGAUUCCCGUCGUCUUCAGGCUGCAGCCGGGCUACGAUCACAGCUACUUCUUCAUCUACUCCUUCAUAAGCGACCACAUCAAGCAUCACGCCAAAUACCUGAACGCCUGAUCUGCUGGGGGUCCCGCCGCUCUGCCUUCUACAGCUCUGAGUCUUGUGAUCAAAGGGGGACAAACCUACUAAAUCUGCAAGGGGUCGAAUACUUAUUUGCUGUAUACGUAUGUAUUCUGUAUAUCUACUUUGCUUUAAGGCCCAAAGCGCUUUACUGUCACAGUCCCAUUCACACACACUGGUGUGAUGUGAUGUGAUGUGUGAGGAGCAAUCUCAGGUUCAGGGUCUCGCUCAAAGACCCUUAGACACAUGGGCAGGAACCAAACCUGUGAUUCUCCUAUCAGAGGUCGACCACUCUACCUCUGCACCAUAGCUGCCCCAAAAGAAACCUCAGUCGGGUCAGAAUCUGACAUGUGAUGUUUUUACUGAUAAGUGAUGAGGAGUACAGCACAGUAUUUACAGUAUUCACAGCAGUUAAGGCGGCGUUACACGGACACUUUAUGCAUGCUGUACAACAAUAACACAAAAAGACACAGAGUUACAAAAUAAUAUGAUACAUGACCAACAGUAGAAAAGUAGCAAAAAUGAUUCUCCCAGAAAAGUAAAAACGUGAUGGGUUCCGAUUUUUAUUAGAGGUCAAAACAAAGAAACUAGUUUAAAGUGCAGAAUCUGUCUGGAUGUUUGGAGAGCAUGAACCGGACUGUGGAGUUCAAUCAGGGAUCAGAGCCCUCACGGCUUCUGUUCUUUGUUAUGUGAACAGGGAGGAUUUUCACUGCCUUAAUACUAGGUUUUAUUUUCAGACAAAGCUAAUUCAGUCUCUUAAACCACAUAAGCAGUGAUUUAAACUGAGCAAAGGUUUAUCUUUCAUUGAUAACAUGAGGAAUUCUAACAUUAAAACACUGUUUCUUAGGCUGAAACAAAAACCAACAAAUGUCUUUCAGGGGAAAACUGACUUGAGCUUUCGUAAAAAUACUCAAUCAACAGGAGGAGGUUUCAAAUCUCCUAAAAACUAUGUUUAACACUAGCUCUGUUACCAUUGACUAUGAAAUUCCGAUAAUAAAUUUGCCUGUUGGAAACACAAUUUCAAAAAAACUCCAAUUUGUCAUAAAAAUCUUUAUGCACUUGAAAGGAGUUGGUUUUUGACGCGUAUCAAAACUGAUAUAUUUAACAAAACUGCAAUGGAAACACUGUAUUCUAAUGAAAUGAGUCACAUGACCAACAACCGGAUGGCAAUGCGCUUCUUGGUAGGAACUGGCUGCUUUGGGCACUGCACAGCGGGUGACACAAAGAGGUCCCACAGUAUCACACAGCUCAUCAAAAAUUGAGUGUGUCAUGCUGUUGGAUCCACAGAUCCUCAGUAAAAUCACCAACGAUUUCCCUAAAUGGCUUCAUCUGUAGCCCCUCCCCAUUAAGGAGCUCGCCGCUCAAUGGCCUGAAUAAGACGCCGACGUCUCCUUUUAUAGAUGAUGAGCGCUAGUGCCAUUGCAGAAAUUUGAAUGGAUCAAAGUAUUGUUUACAUCUGUCGCUGUUUCUGAAUAACUUAUUGCGUAAGAUGUUUGUGUUUAUUCACAUAGGAACAGUAGAAUUGUGUUUUUUUUUUACAUUCCUAGAAUGUUGAUAGUUUUGCGUAUUUGUGUCAUGGAAACAGCUACUAAGAGUCCUGAUUUUUCUCUUUUCUUUAGGCCGAGAGGAAAAUAAUUUCUCUUUUUCCUCAUAAAGCUGCCUGUAGUGUUGAAAUACAUAAAAAAUGGGAUUUCAGAGGAUUUGCAGAGCAUACGCUAAAAAAAAAACUAGGUUGAAAACUA